rnacentral:misc_RNA from 1 species
GGCCCGGCAAACAAGUAAAUCCCCUUUUUUUUUUUAUUGAUGUACCAGAGUACCUCUGGGCAGCCAUUUUCAUGUCAAGACAAAAAAAAAAAAAAAAAAAAAAAAUUAGGGGAUAAAAAAUAAAAAAAAAACGAUCUAUUUUAAGACCCGACGUGGAGCCUAUACAGACAUACACAUACAACAAAACAUUCAAAGGAAAGUGUAGCCUAUGAUUAUCAGAUCCUCACCUAAUUUGUGGUGACCUGUAUCACCACCAAGAUUCAGGAGGAUGUGUCUUCCGAAUCUUAAUUCUUUGGCAAGCUCAAGAUUGAUGUUUGUUGUAUACACUCAAAUCAGUAUGAGUAUCCUUAUAGCGUUGACUAAGAUAAGUCCCACAUAUGAUUGGAGGAAACUUGGGAGGAUUUUUUUCGGACUUGCAGGUGGGCAAGCAUUCAACUAAACAAUCAUGACUAGGUUCCGCGAAAUAUGCUAUAGAAUAUCUCUCUUGACCAUUCCCGACAACUCUAUGCAAUGUGGACCUGAAAAUACAGUUGCUCCAGCGCUCCAGCAUAUCACCAAUAUUCACUAUGAAUGCUCCUUUUAUUGGAGCUAUAUAUUCCCAAACUUGAGGUUGAGCAUCCUUAUUCUUGCAUAUUUGAAGGGCAACGACAUCAUCUGUGGCUAAAAGGGUAAUCAAACCAUAGUCAGAAUGAGCUCCGGCUCCAAAUAUUCCCUUUGAGGGAUCAGAAAUCUGAGCUCCGUAGUGUAGCAAGCGCAUGACUGCAAUUGGCUGGCCAAGCAUUUCAGGCC